AGUAUUAGCUAUGUUCUUGAAACUCAAAGAAUUUGACGGUAUCUUAUUCUAUUCAGAGGAACUUGUCCUUUAAUUGAUGAUUCACGAUUGACUUAACUUUAAUUAUUUGUUUGUAUACCUCCGUUAUCAGAAUAUCUUUUUAGAGUAAUGAAUUUUCUUUAUAUUUGAUUGAAUAGUAUUUCAGGUCAAGGUGCAGUUAAUAUUAAAGUAGAGAUGAGUUACAAUGAAAUUAAUUUAUAAUGGAUUCUAUUACUAAUUUUUAGAUGAAGGUGGAUUUGAUUGUAAUUGGGAUUAAAUUAUCUAAGUGAAUUUAGCUCUGGGGUGUGU
rnacentral:rRNA from 1 species